UGGGGAAUAUUGCGCAAUGGGGGAAACCCUGACGCAGCAACGCCGCGUGAGUGAAGAAGGUUUUCGGAUCGUAAAGCUCUGUCAUUAGGGAAGAAGGCCUAUUGGUUAAUAGCUAAUAGAAUGACGGUACCUAAAAAGGAAGCUCCGGCUAACUAUGUGCCAGCAGCCGCGGUAAUACAUAGGGAGCAAGCGUUAUCCGGAAUUACUGGGCGUAAAGGGCGCGUAGGCGGUAACCUAAGCUAGAUGUGAAAGACCAUGGCUCAACCAAGGAAUUGCAUUUAGAACUGGGUUACUAGAGGACGAGAGAGGAAAGUGGAAUUCCUAGUGUAGCGGUGGAAUGCGUAGAUAUUAGGAGGAACACCAGUGGCGAAGGCGACUUUCUGGCUCGUAACUGACGCUGAGGCGCGAAAGCGUGGGGAGCAAACAGG
rnacentral:rRNA from 1 species